rnacentral:rRNA from 1 species
GUGGGUAACCUGCCUUGUACUGGGGGACAACAGUUGGAAACGACUGCUAAUACCGCAUAAGCGCACAGCUUCGCAUGAAGCAGUGUGAAAAACUCCGGUGGUACAAGAUGGACCCGCGUCUGAUUAGCUGGUUGGUGAGGUAACGGCCCACCAAGGCGACGAUCAGUAGCCGGCCUGAGAGGGUGAACGGCCACAUUGGGACUGAGACACGGCCCAAACUCCUACGGGAGGCAGCAGUGGGGAAUAUUGCACAAUGGGGGAAACCCUGAUGCAGCAACGCCGCGUGAGUGAAGAAGUAUUUCGGUAUGUAAAGCUCUAUCAGCAGGAAAGAAAAUGACGGUACCUGACUAAGAAGCCCCGGCUAACUACGUGCCAGCAGCCGCGGUAAUACGUAGGGGGCAAGCGUUAUCCGGAUUUACUGGGUGUAAAGGGAGCGUAGACGGUUUUGCAAGUCUGAAGUGAAAGCCCGGGGCUUAACCCCGGGACUGCUUUGGAAACUGUAGAACUAGAGUGCAGGAGAGGUAAGUGGAAUUCCUAGUGUAGCGGUGAAAUGCGUAGAUAUUAGGAGGAACACCAGUGGCGAAGGCGGCUUACUGGACUGUAACUGACGUUGAGGCUCGAAAGCGUGGGGAGCAAACAGGAUUAGAUACCCUGGUAGUCCA